GCCUUCCGGGCCCUCGUGCAGGAGAAGAUACAAAAAAGGAAUCAGAGGCAAAGUGGAGACAGACGCCAGCUACCCCCACCACCAACACCAGCCAAUGAAGAGAGAAGAGGAGGGCUCCCACCCCUGCCCCCGCAUCCAGGUGGAGACCAAGGAGGCAUGUCAGCCACGUGGGGUGGGACCCCCAGAAUGGAUUUGACGUGAGUAACUUCAGAGUCUCUUGGACUCCACUAAACUUCCACCCACCCUU
rnacentral:sRNA from 1 species